UCUCACCCCAGUCGAAGGUCCUGUAGGUCCUGUAUGUCUCACCCCAGUCAAAGGUCCUCUAUGUCUCACCCCAGUCAAAGGUCCUCUAUGUCUCACCCCAGUCAAAGGUCAUGUAUGUCUCACCCCAGUCAAAGGUCCUCUAUGUCUCACCCCAGUCAAAGGUCCUCUAUGUCUCACCCCAGUCAAAGGUCCUCUAUGUCUCACCCCAGUCAAAGGUCCUCUAUGUCUCACCCCAGUCAAAGGUCCUCUAUGUCUCACCCCAGUCAAAGGUCCUCUAUGUCUCACCCCAGUCAAAGGUCCUCUAUGUCUCACCCCAGUCAAAGGUCCUCUAUGUCUCACCCCAGUCAAAGGUCCUCUAUGUCUCACCCCAGUCAAAGGUCCUCUAUGUCUCACCCCAGUCAAAGGUCCUCUAUGUCUCACCCCAGUCAAAGGUCCUCUAUGUCUCACCCCAGUCAAAGGUCCUCUAUGUCUCACCCCAGUCAAAGGUCCUCUAUGUCUCACCCCAGUCAAAGGUCCUCUAUGUCUCACCCCAGUCAAAGGUCCUCUAUGUCUCACCCCAGUCAAAGGUCCUCUAUGUCUCACCCCAGUCAAAGG